AACUUUGUUUUCUCCACGGGGAAUCAAUUUUUAAUCUAUGUAGUCACCGAACUUUUCCUUGUCUCUCAUAGAAAAUUGUGAGUUUCUGGGAAGGCUUUGGACCUCUGUGACAGACCUCAGACCUCAAGGACACAGAUAACUUGAAAGUUGCAUAACCUAUACUAUGUGCUGAAAAGACUAGUGAUUGGCACUGAGCCCACAACUUUGUGGAGCACAGCAUCAAUGGGGAAGACAAACAUGUAAGUCUUAUGUG
rnacentral:lncRNA from 1 species